rnacentral:lncRNA from 1 species
GGUCCUUUCUUCAUGUCAAUAAUAUACUAUCGAUCAAACAAUAUUAGCAACAUCCCACAUAUGGUGCAUUGCCAUUUGGAAGUACUGUUACAUGCUAAAAAACAAGUAUCAAGCAUGCGCACUUGAUAGCUAUAGGAGAAUAAUAGCAUAAAACAAGAAAUAUGAAGUUAAUUUGCAACUUACUAUAAAAAUCUAUGCCCAAACCCU